AUUGAACGCUGGCGGCAGGCCUAACACAUGCACGUCGAGCGGAGCGGCGGUCGGGUGAGUUAUGCCUAGGAAUCUGCCUGGUCGUGGGGGAUCACGUCCGCAAACGGGCGCUAAUACCGCAUACUCUCAGAUGAGCCUAGGUCGGAUUCGCUAGUUGGUGGGGUAAAGGCCUACCAAGGCGACGAUCCGUAGCUGGUCUGAGAGGAUUAUCAGUCACACUGCAACUGAGGCACGGGCCAGACUCCUACGGGAGGAUGAAGUGGGGAAUAUUGGACAAUGGGCGGAAGCCUGAGCCAGCCAUGCCGCGUGGGUGAAGAAGGUCUUCGGAUUUUAAAGUACUUUAAGUAAGGAGGGGAUAAUAACAGAAAAAGCACUGGCUUACGUCGUGCCAGCAGCCGCGGUAAUAC
rnacentral:rRNA from 1 species